UAUAAGAGACAGCAGUCGCCACGGUAAAACCAGCAGCCCAAGUGGUGGUCGCGCUUAUUGGGCCUAAAGCGCUCGUAGCCUGGCCGGUAAGUUCCCCGUGAAAUCGGGUCGCCCAACGAUUCGGCUUGCGGGGAAUACUGUCGGUCUUGGGGCCGGGAGACGCCGAGGGUACUCCGGGGGUAGCGGUGAAAUGCUGUAAUCCUCGGGGGACUACCAGUGGCGAAGGCGCUCGGCGAUAACGGGCCUGACGGUGAGGGGCGAAAGCUGGGGGCGCGAACGGGAUUAGAUACCCCAGUAGUCCCUGUCUCUUAUU
rnacentral:rRNA from 1 species